AGGGUUUCACGAUUCAUAGCCAUUAAGAGAAGAGUGACAUACUAGAUUGGAUUACAAACAUUGAUUAUUCUGAUUUUGUUUGAUCCAUAUACUAUUAUUUCCCGAUCUGUGACUGGUUCGAUUUAGAAUUACGUAUCGGUCUGUUCGUUUAUAGUAAAGCGUUUGGGGUUAGGGUUUUAGAAAUCAGUGAUUUGUGUCUUGUUUUGUAUAUAAACGAAUCUAUGGCCGCAGGAAGGCAUGGGGGUUACUACAAUGAAUUUAGGGAGAAUGAGGCUGAUUUUGAUGCAUCCAAGAGGGAAAUUCCUUAUUCUAGAGAUGAGUAUGAACGCUUAAAGAAUGGUGGCAGUCAAGAUUAUGAGAGGGGUAGGAACAGGGCUCGUGAUGGCAAAGACAGGGGUAGAGUUAGACAGAGGGAUGUCAAAGAAAGAGAGUUGGUGACCGGUGGGGGUUAUCAGUCUGCUUCUAGUAGGAGUGAUUCAGGAGGUAGUGGUGGUGAUGGAGGUUUGAGGCAUCGUGAAUACCCUGUUAGAGUCAGGGAUCGGGAACCUGGGGAGUUGUCUAGUGACAGUGGGUCUGAUGAGGCCGUUGAUUUGGAAAUACAUGGUAAAAAUGAUAAGGGUUCUAGGAUAGAGGAAGCUGCCCGUUCUCAUUCUCAUUCUCCGAUCAAGAAGAGGAAGUUCUCACCUAUUGUCUGGGAUAGAGAUGACAAGGAAGUGGGUAAUAUAUCUAAGAGUAGGUUUUCUACAGCAAAUACUACUGUUGCUAUGCCACCGGUGCCCAAGUCUCAUCGGCAAUCGCCUGAUCCUGUUCCUCCAGCUGUUGUACAGAUUUCCACCCUAGAAAAGGACAAGCUUCAGACUGCUGAGCAAUCUCCAGGUAAUACCCCUGUUGAUAUUGGGACACAUGAGUCUUAUGGUUUUGCGCAUGCUGGUCUAUCUUCUUCCCCACUUCAGAGAGAGCAUGUGGACUUAUCUUCUUUACCUGCCCAGGAAGAGCGUCUUGUCUAUGUUCAGAAUGCAGGGCAACCAGAAGAUGAGGAUUAUGCGCCUGCGCACAAUAUAAGAUCAUCUCGAUGGGCAAAUGAUGUCAAUUCUCCAGCCGAUGAAGGUGAAGUUUCUGAUGCAUUGGGCAACCACAGGAUUCAGAAGAGGCAAAAAAUUCCUUCUGGAUCUGAUCAUCUUGGAUCGGAAAAGAAGUCAUUGAGCCCAGAGAUUGGGGAGCUUCACAGGGAAGGCUCUGAAGGAACUAGAACACGAUCAUCUGAGUCCUAUGAAAAUGGGUAUCAUAUUAGGGCUUCAAGUAGUGAUGACUACUCGGAGAAGGAGUUGGCAAGGAAGGACUACAUGGAGAUAGAUGAGGAUCACAGUAGUGGUCGCCCUAGUGUCAGCCAGUCAUAUACCGAUUCCGAGAGCGAAGAUGGCUCUUGUGGUACACCACAGACUGCUCUCCCUCCUCAAAGAAGUGUAAAUAUGCUACAAGGUUGUAGAAGUGUUGAUGAGUUUGAGAGAUUGAACAAGAUAGAUGAAGGCACUUAUGGGGUUGUCUACAGGGCCAAAGAUAAAAAAAGUGGAGAAGUUGUUGCUUUAAAAAAGGUGAAGAUGGAGAAAGAAAGAGAAGGAUUUCCUUUGACUUCAUUGAGGGAAAUAAAUAUCCUUCUUUCAUUUCAUCACCCUUCAGUGGUAGAUGUGAAGGAAGUGGUGGUUGGCAGUAAUCUUGACAGCAUUUUUAUGGUGAUGGAAUACAUGGAACAUGAUCUUAAGGCAUUGAUGGAGACAAUGAAACAACCUUUUAGUCAAAGUGAAGUUAAAUGCCUUAUGCUCCAGCUUUUAGAGGGAACAAAGUAUCUCCAUGACAAUUGGGUUCUUCACCGAGAUUUGAAGACAUCAAAUUUACUCCUAAAUAAUCGUGGUGAGUUAAAGAUUUGUGACUUUGGAUUAUCUCGUCAAUACGGAAGCCCUUUAAAACCCUACACUCAUUUGGUGGUGACUCUUUGGUACAGGGCACCGGAACUUUUGUUGGGAGCAAAACAGUAUUCUACUGCAAUUGACAUGUGGUCAUUGGGUUGUAUCAUGGCUGAAUUGUUAUCAAAGCAACCUUUGUUCAACGGAAAAACAGAGUUUGAUCAGCUUGACAAGAUUUUCAAAACCCUUGGCACACCAAAUGAGGCUAUUUGGCCUGGGUUUUCUAAACUUCCUGGAGUGAAGUUGAACUUUGUCAAGCACCAGUAUAAUUUAUUACGUAGAAAAUUCCCUGCAACAUCUUUCACCGGAUCACCGGUUCUAUCUGAUGCUGGGUUUGACUUGCUGAACAAACUUCUAACUUACGACCCUGAAAAGCGGAUAACAGCGGAAGUGGCUCUUGAACAUGAGUGGUUUCGUGAAGUCCCUCUUCCCAAGUCCAAAGAUUUUAUGCCCACUUUUCCUGCUCAUCAUGCACAGGACAGGCGUACACGUAGGGUAAUGAAGAGUCCUGAUCCCUUGGAGGAGCAGCGUCGGACGGAAUUGCAGCAAGCCAAAUUAGGGACAGUUUUGUGCAGUACUAAAAAUGACAUUGUCGAGGUGAAAGCCCAUGUAGCGGAAGGAAUUGGCAACAUUUGCAGUGAGGUGAUCAUCACUCAUGCUGCUUUUAGUAGGCACCCUUCAUGAUCUGGGCGCGGAGAUAUUUUUGCUUCUGCUUCCUGACCUGAUACAUAGCCAGGUUGACUUGCAAGGUGGUUGGUGUAGCAUGGAGAGGCAUUGUUUGCUUGUCAUUGAUGGAGUAUUUAACAGAAAGUUAUGCAGUUUGAAGUAUCAAAGUGAGGAGGUUACCUGUGCAUCCAGAAUCUUGUAAAAUUUCCAUUUAAUUUUCCAUUCUUCAGGUACUUUUUGUUCAUCCAUUCUUAUCGAUGUAUCUAUUAACGUGGAAAAUGUGUAUGAUCUACUUGACUACAUUUUCAUCUUUACCUGCCGGAAGCUUCUUAGUUUUUAGGAAUGACAUGAUUUCUACCUGCAUCUGAAACACUGGUCUCUCUUAAAUCAUGAAAUUUGUAGAGGGACAAUUUUUAUAACAAGAACACGUAUGUUACUUAGGGAUCUCAUGUUCUGAAGCAUGAAUUCAUAUUAAUUGGUAAAAAAAAAAUACAAAGGUGCUGUUCUGAAUUAAAACAAUGUGUUCUACUCUCUAGCUUUAGGAAACACAUGAUCCAUACAUGCAUCAAAAUCUAACGAGAAGUUUAUAUAGUGCUUCAUUAUAUUAUAAAAAAACUUGUUUUUUUUGUUAAUCCCUAUCAGGAACAUGCUUUAAACUUAAGAUAUAACAUAUGCCCCACUAUAUAUGUCCAGCAUUAACUUGAUAUCGUUGCAACUGACGUGCAAUUGUAUGUAGCAGUGUAGCACUACAAUUUCUCAUUGAUAUAUGCAAUUGCUGGUUCGACUUUCAACAACUGAUUUGAUUAGGUUGUGCCUUCA